AUAAGAGAGGCUUUGCGCAGGCCUCUCACUUGUGGGUUCAGAAGAAGAGCCUGGGGCAUCUCCACCAUGGCCUGGAGCCUUUUCUUCAUCACCCUCCUGACUCUCUGCUCAGGGUCCUGGGCACAGUCUUCCCUCACACAAGAAGCCUCCUUGUCAGCGUCUUUGGGACAGAAUGUCACACUCAACUGCGCUGGAAAUGAGAACAAUGUUGGAGCAUAUUAUGUGGGCUGGUACAAACAGGUUUCUGGUGGUGCCCCCAAAACAGUUAUGCUUGGAACCACUAGGCCCUCAGGGAUCCCAGAUCGAUUCUCUGGCUCUCACCCUGGGAACAAAGCCUCUCUGAUCAUCUCGGACCUGUGGCCUGAAGACGAAGCUGUUUAUUACUGCUCAACCUGGGACAAAGUCAUCAACAAUUACACAGUGCUGCAGGCCCAUGCAGACCUGUGACAAAAAUCUGCCCCU